rnacentral:RNase_P_RNA from 1 species
UGGAGCGGGCGCAUGAUCGCUCCGGCCUCGGCCGGAGAGGAAAGUCCGAACUCCGCAGGGCAGGGUGGUUCGUAACGCGAACUGGGGGCGACCCCGAGGAAAGUGCCACAGAAAAUAUACCGCCCCGGUUCACCGGGGUAAGGUUGAAAUGGCGAGGUAAGAGCUCACCGCUUCCAUGGCGACAUGGGAGGCACGGCAAACCCCACCCGGAGCAAGACCAAAUAGGGGAACUGUGCUGUAUCCUGGAUACAGCUAAGGGCGGCCCGUCCGAAGUUCCCGGGUAGGUUGCAAGAGGUGGCGGGCGACCGUCAUCCCAGAUAAAUGAUCAUGGCCUUCUUCGGGAGGUACAGGAUUCGGCUUACAACCCGCUCCAGUCU